rnacentral:rRNA from 1 species
CGCUGGCGGCGUGCCUAACACAUGCAAGUCGAACGGGGAGUUACUUGUAACUCCUAGUGGCGAACGGGUGAGUAACGCGUAGACAACCUGCCUCUAAACUGGGGACAACACCGCGAAAGUGGUGCUAAUACCGAAUGUGGUAUCUUGAUCGCAUGAUCGAGAUAAGAAAGAUGGCCUCUGCAUAUGCUAUCGAUUAGAGAUGGGUCUGCGUCUGAUUAGCUAGUUGGUGAGGUAAUGGCUCACCAAGGCGACGAUCAGUAGCCGGUCUGAGAGGAUGAACGGCCACACUGGGACUGAGACACGGCCCAGACUCCUACGGGAGGCAGCAGUGGGGAAUCUUCCGCAAUGGACGAAAGUCUGACGGAGCAACGCCGCGUGAGUGAAGAAGGUCUUCGGAUUGUAAAGCUCUGUC